UUCAAACAUGCGAGCUCUGCUUGAAAUCUAACAGUAAGGGAAAGACCACUUUUGGUCACGCUGGUGUGACGACAUCUUCACAACUGGGAUUGACGCGGCCUUUGUUGUGUGUGCUCUGAGUCCCCUCCCUGCCUCCCCAAGUCGUGUUCAGAUGGCAAAAUAUCCCAGGAUUGCCACAUCGGACUCCUGCCAGUUGUUUCCGUGUCUCUAGCUUUGUCCUCUUCAAAUGUAGGACAUGCCGAGCACACGCGUGUGUGUUUGUGCGGCAGGGGGUCAGAAACGUGGGUUCGUGGGCCCUUGGACCCUGGAGAGAACCUGGGUGGGUCAGAGAGCAGAGAGUGGAGGUGGGAAAUAAAAAAUGAGGCCCUCGUCAGAGAGAUGAUGUGCCAGAUGUAGUCACUGCCACCAAGGCUCACAGGGAGAAACUGCUUCCCAGUUUGCCGGUAAACUCCACCCCUUUGCUGUUGGGAGAGAUUAUUCUUCACUGCAAAGCAGCGCCUCCCUUUUCUCUGUGCUUCUUGGCGGCCUUCCUCCACCAUAUCCUCAAGCAUGAUGCUCCUGCCUUGGAGUCAGCCAGCCAGGGACUAAUCCUCUGAAAACUAUCUCCUUUAUGCAUAGAAGGAACCAUGACAAACACGCAGGGAGACUGUGACCCUCGAUGCCUGAUGCUAUGCCUGGCUUGUUCAGGUGCUUGAAAGAUCUCAGUGUUAAGCAAGUAAAUGACACUUGGACGACAAUCCGGCUGCUUUUACUUCUGAGCUGCGGCUCUUCCUGGGCACAUCAGCUGAUCAGCCCAGACUUCUCAGCUCUCUGUUAGCUGCCUGUCCUCACACAAUCACCCCCUGACACUGGCAGGAUUACAACCUUGGCUUAAAACACUCCUGGUGGGUCAGCUUGCAAAACUCUAGCACUUCCUGGUGAUGAAUGAACUUCUAGACUACUGACCCCAACAAAUCCUGAAGCAACAGAUCUGAAUAGAUGUUUCUCAAAAGAACACACGCAAACAGUUAGAAGCGCAACCUCAUCCACUUCCACAGAAAUGCAAAUCUACACCGCAGUGAGAUGGCACCUCACACCUGUUGGAAUGGCUGUCAACAGAAGAACAAAAGACAAGCAGUGUUGGCAAGGGUGUGGCUGUGGGCAUCCCUGGUACACUCUUGGAGGGAAUGCAAAUUGGUAUAGCCACCAUGGGAAGCAUAAAAUGGGAAAUGGAGUCACCGCAUAACCCUACAAUCCACUUCCACUA